UUUGAUUUCUAAUUAUUGAAAAUUGUAAAUUUUCUCUUUUAGAUUAGAGUAAUAA
rnacentral:tRNA from 1 species